rnacentral:rRNA from 1 species
AUCCAAGAAAAAAAAAAAAAAAAUAAAGAAAACUACUUUAGAGUUUGAUCCGGCUCUGGACGAACGCCGGCGGCGUGCUUAAUACAUGCAAGUCGAACGCAUCCUUCCUCCUGAGUGCUUGCACUCAAUUGGAAAGAGGAGUGGCGGACGGGUGAGUAACACGUGGGUAACCUACCCAUCAGAGGGGGAUAACACUUGGAAACAGGUGCUAAUACCGCAUAACAGUUUAUGCCGCAUGGCAUAAGAGUGAAAGGCGCUUUCGGGUGUCGCUGAUGGAUGGACCCGCGGUGCAUUAGCUAGUUGGUGAGGUAACGGCUCACCAAGGCCACGAUGCAUAGCCGACUUGAGAGGGUGAUCGGCCACACUGGGACUGAGACACGGCCCAGACUCCUACGGGAGGCAGCAGUAGGGAAUUUUCGGCAAUGGACGAAAGUCUGACCGAGCAACGCCGCGUGAGUGAAGAAGGUUUUCGGAUCGUAAAACUCUGUUGUUAGAGAAGAACAAGGACGUUAGUAACUGAACGUCCCCUGACGGUAUCUAACCAGAAAGCCACGGCUAAAUACGUGCCAGCAGCCGCGGUAAUACGUAGGUGGCAAGCGUUGUCCGGAUUUAUUGGGCGUAAAGCGAGCGCAGGCGGUUUCUUAAGUCUGAUGUGAAAGCCCCCGGCUCAACCGGGGAGGGUCAUUGGAAACUGGGAGACUUGAGUGCAGAAGAGGAGAGUGGAAUUCCAUGUGUAGCGGUGAAAUGCGUAGAUAUAUGGAGGAACACCAGUGGCGAAGGCGGCUCUCUGGUCUGUAACUGACGCUGAGGCUCGAAAGCGUGGGGAGCAAACAGGAUUAGAUACCCUGGUAGUCCACGCCGUAAACGAUGAGUGCUAAGUGUUGGAGGGUUUCCGCCCUUCAGUGCUGCAGCUAAACGCAUUAAGCAUUCCGCCUGGGGAGUACGACCGCAAGGUUGAAACUCAAAGGAAUUGACGGGGGCCCGCACAAGCGGUGGAGCAUGUGGUUUAAUUCGAAGCAACGCGAAGAACCUUACCAGGUCUUGACAUCCUUUGACCACUCUAGAGAUAGAGCUUUCCCUUCGGGGACAAAGUGACAGGUGGUGCAUGGUUGUCGUCAGCUCGUGUCGUGAGAUGUUGGGUUAAGUCCCGCAACGAGCGCAACCCUUAUUGUUAGUUGCCAUCAUUUAGUUGGGCACUCUAGCGAGACUGCCGGUGACAAACCGGAGGAAGGUGGGGAUGACGUCAAAUCAUCAUGCCCCUUAUGACCUGGGCUACACACGUGCUACAAUGGGAAGUACAACGAGUCGCUAGACCGCGAGGUCAUGCAAAUCUCUUAAAGCUUCUCUCAGUUCGGAUUGCAGGCUGCAACUCGCCUGCAUGAAGCCGGAAUCGCUAGUAAUCGCGGAUCAGCACGCCGCGGUGAAUACGUUCCCGGGCCUUGUACACACCGCCCGUCACACCACGAGAGUUUGUAACACCCGAAGUCGGUGAGGUAACCUUUUUGGAGCCAGCCGCCUAAGGUGGGAUAGAUGAUUGGGGUGAAGUCGUAACAGGGUAACGCGG